GGUGAUUGCAAGGCAUUCUGGGAGGGAGGAGCCUCCAUUUUACAGUCUUCAGUCACCAGGACUCAUCAUCAGAGCUGUUUCUGUAUGUCUCCUUCCAAAACUCCACCAUCUGUGUAAUAGCAUAUCUGUUUUACCACAUCACAUUACCACAUCACAUUACAUGUGUGUAAUCCUGUUUUGCCAUAUAUACUCAACAACCUGUUCACCAAUAAACAAGUUAAACUACAAAGAA